UCCGUAGGGGGCAAGCGUUGUCCGGAAUCAUUGGGCGUAAAGCGCGUGUAGGCGGCCAGAAAAGUCCGCUGUGAAAACUCGAGGCUCAACUUCGAGCUGUCGGUGGAAACUUUCUGGCUAGAGUCCGGAAGAGGAGAAUGGAAUUCCUGGUGUAGCGGUGAAAUGCGCAGAUAUCAGGAGGAACACCAAUGGCGAAGGCAGCUCGCUGGGACGGUACUGACGCUGAGACGCGAAAGCGUGGGGAGCAAACAGG
rnacentral:rRNA from 1 species